rnacentral:rRNA from 1 species
UACGGGGGGGGCAAGCGUUGUUCGGAAUUACUGGGCGUAAAGGGCUCGUAGGCGGCCAACUAAGUCGGAUGUGAAAUCCCCAGGCUUAACCUGGGAACUGCAUCCGAUACUGGAUGGCUUGAAUUCGGGAGAGGGAUGCAGAAUUCCAGGUGUAGCGGUGAAAUGCGUAGAUAUCUGGAGGAAUACCGAUGGCGAAGGCAGCCCCCUGGGCUAACACUGACGCUCAUGCACGAAAGCGUGGGGAGCAAACAGG